CUAUAAAAUGUUUUAUAAAAUCAUCAUCCCUCCAAAUCCUACAUUCCUGAAAGACUUUCAUCGAAUAUUAACUAAUAUAAAACUAACGGGGUUAUUUAAUAAAGUAAGAAUCCAAAAUUAAGUCAAAGUUAGUUGCAAAUUUAAGGCCAAAGCAGGUGAAGUAGAUGCAUAGCUGACUUAGAAUUUUUUUUUUAAAUCACCUAUUAUGGCC